AUGGGAGACUUGAAUGAUAUCAUGUAUGAUGUUGAUGGUUGUAAUGGUAAUAUCAACUACUAUCGUAUGCAUGCUUUUCGUUCUCUUGUUAAAAACUGUGGCUUGUUUGAUAUUGGUUAUAGUGGUCCUGCUUAUACUUGGCGUGGUAGGCAGAAUACUUCCAAACCUAUUCAUCGUCGUCUAGAUCGCUAUUUGGUUAACUCCGAUUGGUGCUUCCACUAUCCUAAUACAAAAGUUCUGAAUCUCCCCAUUAUUCUCAGUGAUCAUGCGCCUAUUUUAAUUUUGACUGACAGUCAGUUUGUCAAGCCUAAGCAAGCCUUUAAAUUUGAAAAU
rnacentral:rRNA from 1 species